rnacentral:rRNA from 1 species
AUGGAGCCGGCGGAGGCGGAGGCGGGAGGCGGCAUCGCCGCCGCGAGGAGCAGCCCGGCCGCCGUGCAGGCCACCAACGACGACGCCGCGGCGAGCAAGCUGUCCUGUGUUACCAAAGGGUACAUGAAGGAUGAUUACGUGCACCAUUUUGUUAGGCGGACAACAAAAAGGGCUCCAAUAAUCAAUCGUGGCUACUAUGCCCGCUGGUCUGUUCUUAGGAAACUUAUGCUCCAGUUCCUCAAUGCUGGGAGUGGCAGUGAUGAUCAGAAGAGGAAACAGAUAUUAUCUCUUGGCGCUGGCUUUGACACGACAUUUUUCCAGUUGCAGGAUGAAGGGCUUGCUCCGUACCUUUAUGUAGAGCUGGAUUUUCAGGAGGUAACCAGCAAAAAGGCUGCCAUCAUCAACCACUAUAAUGACAUGAAGGAGAAAUUAGGACCUGAUGCUUCUAUUUCAAUAGAAAAAGGCGAAGUGACGAGUACAAAUUACAAGCUAUUUUCUGCUGAUAUUCGUGAUAUACCGAAGCUAGAUGCAGUUAUUCGCAUGGCUGAAAUGGACCCAAGCUUGCCGACCUUUAUAAUUGCAGAGUGUGUUCUAAUUUACUUAGAUCCAACUUCAACUGAUGCUAUUGUUAGUUGGGCAUCCGAAAAGUUCUCCAGUGCAAUCUUUUUCUUAUAUGAGCAGAUCCAUCCAGAUGAUGCAUUUGGGGAGCAAAUGAUUAGGAAUCUCGAGAGUAGAGGAUGCCCGCUCCUUGGCAUAAAUGCUACACCAACAUUAAGUCAUAAGGAGAAACUUUUUCUUGAUCAUGGAUGGAAGAGAGCUGUUGCACGGGAUAUGCUGAAAAUAUACAAUGAUUUCAUUGACGCCGGAGAAAGGCGUAGGAUUGAGCGGCUAGAGCUGUUUGAUGAGUUUGAAGAGUGGCAUAUGAUGCAGGAACACUAUUGUGUUGCAUAUGGGAUAAACGACGCCGAGGGAAUAUUUGACGAUUUCGGGUUCAAGGAGUAG